GGCGAGUGAGCGGUAACAGCUCAAAUUUGAAAUCUGGGUCUUUCAGGCUCCGAGUUGUAAUUUGUAGAAGAUGCUUCGGGUGCGGCUCCGGUCUAAGUUCCUUGGAACAGGACGUCAUAGAGGGUGAGAAUCCCGUAUGUGAUCGGUUGCUUGCGCCCAUGUGAAGCUCUUUCGACGAGUCGAGUUGUUUGGGAAUGCAGCUCAAAAUGGGUGGUAAAUUUCAUCUAAAGCUAAAUAUUGGCCAGAGACCGAUAGCGCACAAGUAGAGUGAUCGAAAGAUGAAAAGCACCUUGGAAAGAGAGUUAAACAGUACGUGAAAUUGUUGAAAGGGAAGCGCUUGCAACCAGACUUGCGCGUUGCCGAUCAUCCGGGGUUCUCCCCGGUGCACUCGGCCUCGCUCAGGCCAGCAUCGGUUUUGGUGGUGGGAUAAAGGCCUUGGGAAUGUAGCUCCUUUCGGGGAGUGUUAUAGCCCUCGGUGCAAUGCCGCCUACCGGGACCGAGGACCGCGCUUCGGCUAGGAUGCUGGCGUAAUGGUUGUAAGUGAC
rnacentral:rRNA from 1 species